rnacentral:sRNA from 1 species
GCCGCCGCCGCCGCCGCCGCGACCGCAGGCUGAGCCCAGGCGGGCCGGCCGCCCCGAGCCGCCCCCCGCCGCCGCCGCCGCCGCCGCGCCCCCGCCCGGCCCGCUCCCAACGGAAAGUUGGGCUGCGGCGGGCGGCGUCUGGAACCCGCGGGCCGGCAUGAGCGGGGGCCGCGGGGGCGCCUAGGGCACCGGGAGGCGGCGCCGCGCGGGGGCAACUUCGCCCGGGAGCCCACGCCGCCGGGCCCCGCGCCUGCAGCCCCGAGCGGGCUCGCGGUGGUUCCUCCCGUCCCGCGGCCUCCCCCCGCCGACUCCAGGCGCGGACCUUGGUCCCGGCGGCUCCGCGGCGGUGACACGAGCCCGCGCCGCCGCUGCCGCUGCCGCCGCUGCCGCCGCCUCCUCAGCCCCCGCCGCCGCCUUCCCCGCACCAUGGAGUUCUCCGAGAGGAAAAGAAGCAGGAAAUCCCAGAGCUUCAAACUGGUGAGCCGAGAUUAUCACCAUGAGGUGUAUAAGAUCCCAGAAUUCAGCAACGAUGUUAAUGGGGAGGCCAAAGAGACACAGCCCAUUUUUUUAGGAGAUGAAAGCAUGGAAAUAAAAAAGCAAAUUACAGGGAUGAGAAGAUUGCUGAACGACAGCACUGGGCGGAUCUAUCAGCGAGUUGGCAAAGAAGGAGAGAAACUAAAAGAAGAGCCCCAGGACCUGGAUUUAGUCUGGCCUCCACGUUUGAACUCCUCUGCUGAGGCCCCGCAAAGCCUCCACCCGUCUUCACGUGGUGUGUGGAAUGAGCUGCCGCCCCAGAGUGGACAGUUCUCAGGGCAGUAUGGCACCCGUUCUAGAACCUUCCAAAGCCAGCCCCACCCUACCACGAGCUCCAAUGGAGAACUUCCAGUGGUGAAUUCAUCAGCUGGAUCAAACUGCUGUACUUGUAACUGCCAGUCAACGUUGCAGGCCAUUCUACAAGAACUCAAGACCAUGAGG